UCAUAUCAAUUCAAUUUCAUUCAAUUCAAUACAAGUUCAACACAAAUGUCAUUUUCAUUCACAAUUUGUUCAUUUCAUUACAAGGAUUUCCAUGUUCGUGCAAAAAAUCACAAUUUGGCCAAAAUUUGCUACAAUUGACUUUUGGUCAACAAUUGACUUUUUGGUCAACCAGUUGACCAAAGUCAAAUGACCCUCCCUUGACCCCUAAGACGUAUUUCCAUAAAUUUUGCCUUGAUUCGUCACUAAAAUUCAUGUUUUCCUUUGAUUUCUUCUUGGCCAAGUAACUUGGUCCAUGACUUAGUCCAUGUCCAGGUCAGACCACUAAAUGGACCAGCCUGACCAUCACUUGAACCUGCAGCUUGCCAGUCAGACCACCAAUUGAACCUACAAGAAACCUCAAUCAACAAUACAUUUGCCAUAUAUAAACCCUGAUUCAUUACACUAUUCAAAAUCCCAUAAACAAAUUUCAUUCAUUUGCAUUAACAAUCCAAUUACAUUCAAAAUUCUAUUCUCAUACAUAAACCAUUGAUUUACCAUUCAUCUUCCAAUACAAUAUUUCAAUCCAAAUUACAAAUUACAACCACAAUAAAUACACAGUUUAAGUUCCAUCACAAAUCCAUUCCAUUUGAAGCAAAAGUUUAAUGCACCUCCCACACGACUAUGAUUCGUAGCAUAACACCACAAUUUAAAUACACAUUCCACAUGGCCCGUGACAGCCCUGCAAAUUCAUUUACCUACAAAAAUCCAAACGCAUAAUAACAUUCACCCUGCAACAAUUUUCAUAAUAGGGCAAAAACAAUUCAAUAUGUAAUUGCAUAACAUAGCAAACAUUGAUCAAUAACAAAAUGGAAUUCAACCAAACAAGGAUUUCAAUUAACUUCAUUCAUUUUCACUAACCAUUUCACUUCACACUAACAAAACUCUUCUAACAACUAACUUCCCUUCAACUAACGGAUUGACUCUACAUAACUAAUAACCUAACUGUUUUUAACAGUUAGUUAACAGUUAACAGACGCGUAACAAAAUUGCACAGAUGGAAACUAACAAACCUAACUGAUCCAACAUAAUAGACAUCCUAUAUAAGCUCCCAAAUCUCAUUGUAACUUGGAGUUUUUGGAAGCUACAAUUCAUUCCUCUCCAAAUUCUCAGGAUUUCAUUCUCUUACAUUGAAACGAUUCAUUCCUGCAAAAUUCUCUCCCUCACAUUUCCACUAUCCAGAAAUUCACAGAGAUCAUCACACUCACGAUUCUUCAAGAAAAAAGCACUAGAAGCAUUGAGAAGAAUUAUAAGGAGAAAGAAAGAGUUCAAGGGAAGAGGAUCUCGUACCUGACGCCGACUCCAUUCUGGUGAGUCUCCAUUUCAUUUCUUCAUUGUUUCGCAAUAUAGAAGUUACCAAUGUGUAGCUAUAGAUUGGGGGAGUCAAAGCCCUGACCUCUAUGGAUUUGACUAUGGACGAGCAUUGUUUAAUUUCAACUUGAAGACCUAGGGUCCUUACCUCUUUUGAUUCGAUUCGAGCAUAUCCGAUUGAAUUAGACGUAGAUAUAGUGAUUUCUGGAUUCAGUGUAGAAAACUGAUUUAGGAGAUAUGUUUAAUUGAGAUUCUAGAGGCGCCUCCACCACUGGAGAUGGCCUUUGGCGCGACGGAGGGAGAACGGAGAAGAGGGAGACACAUUUGAGAUAUUUUUUCUCUGAGUCUUUUAAGCAUGUGAAUCACGUGUUUUCUAAGCUUUGACUCAUUAAUAGAGCUGUCAAUUUAAGGGGCCAAUUAAUUUAGGCCCCAACCCCCAAAAUAAGAGGGCCUAAAAAAAUUAAAGAAUAGUAAGCCCUCAACCCUAAAGUUAGAUGGGCCCAAAAUUUAAAAGAGGGCCAUAAGGCCCCAAAUAAAAUAAAAAAACUUAAUUUUGAAAAACAAAAUAAAAUAAAUUCAAAAAAUAAAAAAACUUUAUUUUGAAAACCAGGAAUAGAUA
rnacentral:lncRNA from 1 species